UACACUAAUCCUAACUAUGCUCCUGUGCUUUACCCGAUGCCUCGGGCCUUGAUCACGAACCUCCUUCGAAGACAUAAUACGUCAGGGAAUUUCCCGAUGAGUAAAAAUAUGAAACCUUGGGGCAUUCCCAACUAAAUGAAUACACUUGAAUCAAAUGCGAUAAACUAGAAAGAAAACAUUCACACACACUUUCAAAUAUUCAACCAAAUAUUCCAUGUCCAAACUUUCAACGAAAACGCUUGUUCCUAAAUUUUGUCUACCCGAUCCUAUAUGUCAAUCCAUUUCAACAUAUCAUAAUCCCGUUCUGACCAUAUUCAUGCUCAUUCCGAAAACAACAAUAAACCAAAGUUAAUCUAAAUUUACUAUUUUAUCAAAUUCAAUUCCGCCCCCAAAUUUAUUUUUCAACAUGAUUAAAUUACUUUCGAUACGCAAUCCACCAAUCAAGUUUUCAUAUCCAAAUCUAAUAAUAACCAACACGCAAUAAAGAUUUAAACAUACCAAACACAUAAGUCAGUCACAAUUAUGUAAAAUUAAAUAUUAAAGAAAGAGGAGAUGGGAUUGGACCUCACUUUUAUUAUAAUUCCAAAUUUGUUGACAAGAUACCAUCGGAAUACCCAAAUUUAACCUCAAUCAGUAAUCGCACUCGACUAUGAGCGAACUCAAUCGCGAAGAGAAAACCCAAAAUCCAAUCCGAAACUCCGAUGAGCUAAAAAUGACAAAAGCCAACAAGAAGAGUCGGAUUUUGGAAAUCCCUGUAGAACAAGUGAACUAUACACCGAUGACGUCGAUUCCGGCAAAAAAUUCAUCGGAUAUUCUUGAGAAACGACUGGAUUCUCACCGGUAUACUAUUUUGACCAACUCUUGGACUGUUUUCAAUCCAUUUUUUAUCCCUUUUCUCACUGUUUCAACCUUUUCAAUCUCCUCCUUUCCAAUUUCUGGGUAUACCUCUAGCUCCGGGGGGUUAUGUGUGUAUAUGGUUUUUGUCAGUAGAAAAAUGGAAGAUGAAUGGGGAAUCUCGUGUGUAAUUUUUUUUUCUAGAAGAAAAAAAAUGAGGUUAUUUUUUUUUAUAUUUUCCUUUUCCAGUGAGGUCUAUUGAAUUUGGAGUGAUGUGCGUGUAUCUAUUUUUGUGGGUGGUAUGUGGGACACGUAAGUGGAGGUCGUCUGGUCCCUGGAGGUCUGUGAAGUG
rnacentral:lncRNA from 1 species